CUGUAUGUAUGUGUCUGUGUGUGUCUCUGUAUGUAUGUGUCUGUAUGAUACAGACACAUACAUACAGAGACACACACACAGACAC